GCUCAUCAUAUGGCAGUUUUACCACACUUCCAUGUAGGCUCAUCAUAUGGCAGUUUACCAGUUUUACUACACUUCCAUGUAGGCUCAUCAUAUGGCAGUUUACCAGUUUUACUACACUUCCAUGUAGGCUCAUCAUAUGGCAGUUUACCAGUUUUACCACACUUCCAUGUAGGCUCAUCAUAUGGCAGUUUACCAGUUUUACUACACUUCCAUGUAGGCUCAUCAAAUGGCAGUUUACCAGUUUUACUACACUUCCAUGUAGGCUCAUCAAAUGGCAGUUUACCAGUUUUACUACACUUCCAUGUAGGCUCAUCAUAUGGCAGUUUACCAGUUUUACC
rnacentral:lncRNA from 1 species